rnacentral:lncRNA from 1 species
AUAAUCUGAAUUACAAAAGGAUCUAUCUCUAAACAAUCAAGUCUAUCUCUAAGAUCAUAAUUGUCACGCACGUACAUGAGUCUCUCCAGGACUCCUAUGCAUGGCGCACAUGGUAGACAAGCUACCUGUUAGAAACACAAUUCUAACACUCGUGCCGGAACUUGUCCUGGAGGCUGCGCACGAGCUCGUUCCUGGCCCUGACGAUCUCGCCGGAGAUGAUGGCAGCAGAUUGGCUCA